GCAGAUUGUGAAUUCCAGGAUCCUCAUUAUGCAAUCGAUGAACACAAAACUCCAAAUAUUUAAUGACUUCAUGGGUUUCAUUCUUUGCAUGGGGUUCACUUGAAUAACGCAUCAUUGCAGGAAUCAGUUUCCUUGGGUUUAGGUUCUUUGUGGCCAUCCAUGAUUCCACAGUUUCAUAUGCAUCAAGCGCAAUAAGGUCUGGAGCAAACUUGUACUGAAGGUCUAUAGGAACAGCAGGUUUUUGAAGCACUUCCAGUGCUCUCUUUGCUUCUCCUUGCUGAAUAUAGUGGUGAAUUACAAUCUCAUACUGCUCCUUCAGACAAGCAAAAUAUACUAGUUCUUCAACCCUACCAUAGCUCUCUAAUAGUUUCAUUGUAGUUGCCUCAUCCAAGACAUCCUUGCUGUCACUAAGGAAAGCACGGAACUCUCGAAUGAUUGAUUGAUACUCAGAGCUGUGAUUUUCUGAAGCACUGUCCUCUGC
rnacentral:misc_RNA from 1 species